CCUUGUAAAAAGACAUUGAUAAAGGGUUGGUGACGGAGACCAAGUUGACCAAGCACUCGUGUCAAAUGAAUAGUGUGAUCUGAAAUCCUUGCCAAGUUGCCAUAAAACAGUUGAAUGACAUCAGUAUUCACAUCAAACAGAAAAGUAGAACAGAAAUAGAAAUUCCAUAAGAAUACCAUAACAAAACAUGACAAGAAUAAACUAUGACAGAAAAAUUCAUCUAUACAAAAGAAAAUCUUUUAGAAACUUUGGGAGUGGUAAGGAACCCACUGCUUUCUGGGCAAUGUUUUGCAUAAUGGCUGCUUUACAAGCUGUCUGAAGAGAAGUCACUUCAUGCAUUUGCCUAAUCUGGAUUUCUUUAGUAGUUCCAUAAAUAUCAGCAACUACAAAAAGGGGCUUAGAAUUAUAUGGGAUAUCAGAUUCUACAACUCCCCUAUCAACCCCAUCAACAAUCAGGUGCAGGUGGGCAAAUAAAUCAUUGUAGGGUUUGUAGUGCAAACCAAUUAAACUCCCAACUUCUAAAUAAAAUAAAUGCAUUGUUAAUGGUAAUAUAACAAUAUAAAAAUAUUACAUACCUGA